GCAGUCUGCAACUCGACUGCGUGAAGGUGGAGGUCGCUAGUAAUCGCGGAUCAGCAACGCCGCGGUGAAUGCGUUCCCGGGCCUUGUACACACCGCCCGUCAAGUCAUGAAAGUGGGCAGCACCCGAAGACGGUGGCCUAACCCUUGUGGGGGGAGCCGUCUAAGGUGAGGCUCGUGAUUGGGACUAAGUCGUAACAAGGUAAC
rnacentral:rRNA from 1 species